UCCGAAUUAACGAGCAUUUGACACCUUGAAAUACACACAGUUUUGCCGGGACCGCGCUGCGAGUCUGAGUUAACAGAAUUUCCGAGUUAACAAGAUCCGGAUAAACGAGGUUUUACUGUACAGUAGAAUCUCAGUGAUCUG
rnacentral:lncRNA from 1 species